UCAGCCUUCUGUGAUGUCACCGGUAAAUCACUGCCCUAGAAACAGCAGUGUUCUUUGCCUGAGGACUACACAAUGUCCAGCAAGGAGGGUUGGGAUUCAAAGACAGCCCAUGUGUCUGGAAAGAAGGCUUCCUAAGUAGAAGACAGACUCCAAAUUGAUAACAAUAUGGGCUGUGACUCACUUUCUACAAGAAAUCUGUGUCAAAUUUGAAUUCUCUCCAUCAAAUGCAAAAGAUAUGCUCACCAUGGAGGACCCAGGACCAUGAAUGUAUGAAAGACACCAGAGAAUCAAUCUGGGCACAUUUGACAAGAUGAGUGUGUGGACCACACCCAGAAGCCAUUAUGUGCCCAGCUGUCUUCAAUAGAUUCAGAACAAGUGAUCGUGUUUGUGUUGACCAACACCACCACCUCAGAGAAUGGCUUACCACAUUAGUGUAUGGUGUACCUCGGUGUGUGGUAUACCUGGAAUAUGCUUUAUUCAAAAAACUGUUUCAUUUUACAGAAGACAUAAGCUUCUACAUCGUCAGUCUUAAUUUGUAUUAUUAUCCCCAUGGUGGCCAUAACUUCAAAUAAAUAUGUAAUUAUUGAAUCUGUCUUGUCAGAAUACAGAAUUCAAAGCAGUUGCCCAUUGAAAUUCUGAAUAUGUAUCUAUGGUAUAGUGUAUAUAUUUAAAUUUUCCAGACUCAACAAAAUGAAACACAUUCAUUUGCCAAAUUUCAUUUCUUUGUAUACCCUCUACUAUCAAAGUGUUAUCAUAGUUAUUAGAUUCACUAUUGAGUAUAUCUCUAUCUCAGGUCCAUUCCUCUGUGAGUGUUGAUCUUGCCUUUAAAUGCCUAAUUACCCUUUGAUGUUGUGAAUUAGAAUUUACAAAAGCCAAAGAUUCAACUAUUAUUUGUUUAAAUUCUCUAUUUGUUAUCAUUAUAUUUACAGAUUAAAUCAAUAUUUGUAAAAUAAAAUCAGUGAAUGUUU